AGUCACAAAGGAACAAACCCAAGGAGGUCUCCAGUUUGUGCUCUCUCUCCUCCUAAUGCCUGGCUGUGUGUCUCUGCAACUGCUCUCAUCAGCUGCCCAGCGGAAUCCUCUCUGAUUAUGAUUGGGCACCUGUCUAGCAACUGGAGGUCAAAGGCAGUGUUCUGGUGAUCUCUACAGCCUCGUUACUAGGUCUGACUCAGAGCAGGCUACCAAUCUCUGGCCGAAGGAGACUAUGGAGAGGGCUACACAGAUGCCAUCUACUCGCUGCCGUCUCCAGAGCUUUAGGGAGA